GAUGAACGCUAGCUACAGGCUUAACACAUGCAAGUCGAGGGGAAACGAUGAGAGAGCUUGCUCUCUUAGUCGUCGACCGGCGCACGGGUGAGUAGCGCGUAUCCAACCUGCCUCUGACCAAGGGAUAACCCGUCGAAAGUCGGACUAAUACCUUAUGCAGUCGUCGGAAGUCAUCUGAUGACGACGAAAGAUUUCAUCGGUGAGAGAUGGGGAUGCGUCUGAUUAGCUUGUUGGCGGGGUAACGGCCCACCAAGGCGACGAUCAGUAGGGGUUCUGAGAGGAAGGUCCCCCACAUUGGAACUGAGACACGGUCCAAACUCCUACGGGAGGCAGCAGUGAGGAAUAUUGGUCAAUGGGCGUAAGCCUGAACCAGCCAAGUAGCGUGCAGGAUGACGGCCCUAUGGGUUGUAAACUGCUUUUAUGCGGGGAUAAAGUGAGGGACGUGUCCUUCAUUGCAGGUACCGCAUGAAUAAGGACCGGCUAAUUCCGUG
rnacentral:rRNA from 1 species